rnacentral:misc_RNA from 1 species
AAAACAAUUAAAAAGGGAAAAAAAUGGACAGAAAAUCAGUUUUCUUCUUCAUUUUUUCAGCUUGCCGAAUCCUCCCAUGGAAGCUUUCAUUUUCUCCUUCAUUCAAGCUUGCAAAUCCCUCUAACCUUACCCCAAAACCCUAAGCUACCUUCAUAAAAAAUUAAUCCCACACCUAGACAAAGCAAUUGACAGCCAAGAAAAGAGGAAACAAGGAGGUUUUCACAAGUCCAAGAAGUGUCCCUUAAAGGUUCUGGAGAUACAGAUCGU